GAUGAACGCUGGCGGCGUGCCUAAUACAUGCAAGUCGAGCGAACAGACGAGGAGCUUGCUCCUCUGACGUUAGCGGCGGACGGGUGAGUAACACGUGGAUAACCUACCUAUAAGACUGGGAUAACUUCGGGAAACCGGAGCUAAUACCGGAUAAUCUAUUGAACCGCAUGGUUCAAUAGUGAAAGACGGUUUUGCUGUCACUUAUAGAUGGAUCCGCGCCGCAUUAGCUAGUUGGUAAGGUAACGGCUUACCAAGGCAACGAUGCGUAGCCGACCUGAGAGGGUGAUCAGCCACACUGGAACUGAGACACGGUCCAGACUCCUACGGGAGGCAGCAGUAGGGAAUCUUCCGCAAAGGGCGAAAGCCUGACGGAGCAACGCCGCGUGAGUGAUGAAGGUCUUCGGAUCGUAAAACUCUGUUAUUAGGGAAGAACAAAUGUGUAAGUAACUAUGCACGUCUUGACGGUACCUAAUCAGAAAGCCACGGCUAACUACGUG
rnacentral:rRNA from 1 species